GACGGACGCUGGCGGCGUGCCUAAUACAUGCAAGUCGAACGCUUCUUUCCUCCCGAGUGCUUGCACUCAAUUGGAAAGAGGAGUGGCGGACGGGUGAGUAACACGUGGGUAACCUACCCAUCAGAGGGGGAUAACACUUGGAAACAGGUGCUAAUACCGCAUAACAGUUUAUGCCGCAUGGCAUAAGAGUGAAAGGCGCCUUCGGGUGUCGCUGAUGGAUGGACCCGCGGUGCAUUAGCUAGUUGGUGAGGUAACGGCUCACCAAGGCCACGAUGCAUAGCCGACCUGAGAGGGUGAUCGGCCACACUGGGACUGAGACACGGCCCAGACUCCUACGGGAGGCAGCAGUAGGGAAUCUUCGGCAAUGGACGAAAGUCUGACCGAGCAACGCCGCGUGAGUGAAGAAGGUUUUCGGAUCGUAAAACUCUGUUGUUAGAGAAGAACAAGGACGUUAGUAACUGAACGUCCCCUGACGGUAUCUAACCAGAAAGCCACGGCUAACUACGUGCCAGCCGCCGCGGUAA
rnacentral:rRNA from 1 species